rnacentral:rRNA from 1 species
AGCAGCCGCGGUAAUUCCAGCUCCAAUAGCGUAUAUUAAAGUUGUUGCAGUUAAAAAGCUCGUAGUUGAAUUUCGGGGUUCUACCGUUGGUCGGGCUAUUGUCUGUACUGGCGUGUAGAAUUUCUACCUUCUGGGGAACUAUCAUGUUAUUAAUUUAGCGUGGUAGGAAACCAGGACCUUUACCUUGAAAAAUUAGAGUGUUUAAAGCAGGCUUACGUCUGAAUACAUUAGCAUGGAAUAAUAAAAUAGGACGGUGGUCCUGUUUUGUUGGUUUCUGAAUCACCGUAAUGAUUAAUAGGGAUAGUUGGGGGCAUUAGUAUUCAAUUGUCAGAGGUGAAAUUCUUGGAUUUAUUGAAGACUAACUACUGCGAAAGCAUUUGCCAAGGAUGUUUUCAUUAAUCAAGAACGAAAGUUAGGGAUCGAAGACGAUCAGAUACCGUCGUAGUCUUAACCAUAAACUAUGCCGACUAGGGAUCGGAUGAUGUUAAUUUUUAAUGACUCAUUCGGCGCCUUACGGGAA